rnacentral:rRNA from 1 species
UACAGAGGUCCCAAGCGUUGUUCGGAUUCACUGGGCGUAAAGGGUGCGUAGGCGGUCGGGUAAGUCUGGCGUGAAAUCUCCAAGCCUAACUUGGAAACUGCGUUGGAUACUAUCCGGCUCGAGGAAUGGAGGGGAGACUGGAAUACUUGGUGUAGCAGUGAAAUGCGUAGAUAUCAAGUGGAACACCAGUGGCGAAGGCGGGUCUCUGGGCCGUUACUGACGCUGAGGAGCGAAAGCGUGGGGAGCGAACAGG